UACAUGGGGUGCAAACGUUGCUCGGAAUUAUCGGGCGUAAAGCGCGCGUAGGCGGUUACUUAAGUCGGAUGUGUAAGCCCUCGGCUUAACUGAGGAAGUGCACCCGAAACUGAGUAGCUAGAGUACGAAAGAGGGUCGCGGAAUUCCCGGUGUAGAGGUGAAAUUCGUAGAUAUCGGGAGGAACACCGGUGGCGAAGGCGGCGACCUGGGUCGAGACUGACGCUGAGGCGCGAAAGCGUGGGGAGCAAACAGG
rnacentral:rRNA from 1 species